rnacentral:rRNA from 1 species
UACGUAGGUGGCAAGCGUUGUCCGGAAUUAUUGGGCGUAAAGCGCGCGCAGGCGGUUUCUUAAGUCUGAUGUGAAAGCCCACGGCUCAACCGUGGAGGGUCAUUGGAAACUGGGAAACUUGAGUACAGAAGAGGAGAGCGGAAUUCCACGUGUAGCGGUGAAAUGCGUAGAGAUGUGGAGGAACACCAGUGGCGAAGGCGGCUCUCUGGUCUGUAACUGACGCUGAGGCGCGAAAGCGUGGGGAGCAAACAGG